GAUGAAAAGCGUGGCUUGGCAGCACCGCGAGGGGCAACGGAGGGACCGCCGGGAGGGCAGCUGGCUCGACCCGGCCCACCGCGUCUCCGGGGAUACCGCCUUCCUGCCUCGGGCUCCGGGCCCCGGAAGCGGCGAAAAGCCACUCGGGAAGCCGCUCGCUCACCUCUGACCCCACCCCGAAUCUCGCGCGCCUACCCCAUCCCCCGCAGGCGCGCCACGGCCACCCGCCGCAGCCCACCUGUGCGGGCCGCAGCCUCAGGAUAUCGCCGUUGGCUCGGCCAGAACGCGACGCGCCGGCGCCGCGCUGCCGGCUACGCGCCCGCCCGCCGCUCGCUCCGCACGCCCCCUUGCCCGCGCGGCGCCACAGCUCAGCCGACCGCCUGUUACGGCGCCCGCGCUUCCGAUUGGCGCACUGGGCGGGCGACCGCGGGCGGAAGCGGUAGAGGUGGGAAGGCGGGGCCGCGGCCAGGAGACUCGACGCCAGGAUGCUCUCGCCUGGGACUGGUCCUCGCGAGGCCUUUUGUGACUAAGGCCCGGUGUUGGGGCGAGGCUCACGAGCGCUUUCGCUGGUCCGGCAUCCAGGCAAACUUACUGAACCAGUACUAGUCAAACUCUGAAGAUCUCAAGGACUUGCUCUGGUUCGUGCUUGCAUCUCUAAUGCCUACUGAAAUAGCCUCCAGAUGAAAACUCAGCUCAGCUGACCCCUUUAUUUCUGCUUCGUGAUUUACUGAGUAGAGGACCCAGUCACACCAUGCCGGACGUCAGGACUACGGAAUUAAAUCUUCUGACAUCUUCAGCUGCUCUGUGAAAUCUACUAUAAUAUGCUGUGAGUUGGAUAAUGCAGCCACCCUAGAGAAGGCAAGGCAAAAGAUGGAGAGAAAGAAACCAGUUUGGGGUGACAUUAUUUAAACCCCUGAAUCAAAAAUUACUUGAAGGUAAGUGUUUGCCUGACAUUUCCAGUUAUAUGAGCCAAUACAUUCCCUUUUAUUGUUUAAGCCAGGUUGUUUUUUAGUGUGUAUGUUUUCUUCACUGGCUGCUGAAGGAGUCCUAACUUACUUAUCAUCUAACAAUGCUCAUCACACUUCAUUGUUAUUGCUUAUGUAAGAUCUGACUUCCUUGCUAGACUAUAACCUCCAUUACCUUCCAUUACAUUCUAUGAUCUAUU